GAAGGCAUCUGCAGAAUGGAUUCAACAUACCGAGGAAACCCAAACUGAGUGCUAUAGACUGAGCAUCAAAGACCUCUGGUGGUCUCCUAGAUCCAGCCAUGCCAUAGCUCUGACAUGUUAGAUAACCCUAACUGGUUCACUUCCCAGGUCUGAUAUCUUUCAAGAAGAAGUGACAUUGGAUAGGCUGGACUAUAAACCUGCUGGCAAGAAGAAAACAUUAGCGGUUGCUAAUAAAAUAGCAUAAAAUCCUACAAUGAAAACUUGAAAAGAAAAAAUGUGCCAGGCCUACCCUCCUCAAGGGGCCUUAAGACACCCUUGACGAGCUGACUCACUGUAGCCCAAACUUCAGUGGGAACUCCAGAUCACAA
rnacentral:lncRNA from 12 species